rnacentral:rRNA from 1 species
AUUGAACGCUGGCGGCAGGCCUAACACAUGCAAGUCGAGCGGACGACGGGAGCUUGCUCCUUGAUUCAGCGGCGGACGGGUGAGUAAUGCCUAGGAAUCUGCCUGGUAGUGGGGGACAACGUUUCGAAAGGAACGCUAAUACCGCAUACGUCCUACGGGAGGAAGCAGGGGACCUUCGGGCCUUGCGCUAUCAGAUGAGCCCAGGUCGGAUUAGCUAGUUGGUGGGGUAAUGGCUCACCAAGGCGACGAUCCGUAACUGGUCUGAGAGGAUGAUCAGUCACACUGGAACUGAGACACGGUCCAGACUCCUACGGGAGGCAGCAGUGGGGAAUAUUGGACAAUGGGCGAAAGCCUGAUCCAGCCAUGCCGCGUGUGUGAAGAAGGUCUUCGGAUUGUAAAGCACUUUAAGUUGGGAGGAAGGGCAGUAAGCUAAUACCUUGCUGUUUUGACGUUACCGACAGAAUAAGCACCGGCUAACUCUGUGCCAGCAGCCGCCGUAA